AAUUUGUUUUUUAAUUGAGAAAUAGAAUGAAAGAGUCCACUACGAAAAAAUUUCCUUUACAAAACACUAUAAAUUAGACAUUUGGUGAAAAUGCCAAAAUGAUUUAUUUAGACGAUAAGACCCUAUGAAGCUUCACCAGCAGGCUUGAGUUGGAUGUCCACAGCGCUGGUUUGGUUGGGGUAACCACUAAUAAAAUUAUUAGUUGCUAAUUUGGGCUUUGGGAUCCUAUUCAGGAGUAUGAAAAUUAGCUACUCUAGGGAUAACAGCAUUAUAGUUUAAAGAGUUCUUAUCAGAAAAACUGU
rnacentral:rRNA from 1 species